rnacentral:rRNA from 1 species
CACGUCGAACGCUCGCUAUCANUACGUGGAGUGGCAGACGGGUGAGUAACGCGUGGGAACAUACCCUCCGGUUCGGAAUAGCUCAGGGAAACUUGGAUUAAUACCGGAUACUGCCGAUAUGCGAAAGAUUAUCGCCGGAGGAUUGGCCCGCGUUCGAUUAGCUUGUUGGUGAGGUAAUGGCUCACCAAUGCGAUGAUCGAUAUCUGGUCUGAGAGGAUGAUCAUCCUCAUUGGGACUGAGACAUGGCCCAAACUCCUACGGGAUGCAGCAGUGGGGAAUAUUGGACAAUGGGCGCAAGCCUGAUCCAGCCAUGCCGCGUGAGUGAUGACGGCCUUAGGGUUGUAAAGCUCUUUCGCUCGGGACGAUAAUGACGGUACCGAUAUAUGAAGCCCCGGCUAACUUCGUGCCAGCAGCCGCGGUAAU